rnacentral:rRNA from 1 species
CCUACGGGAGGCAGCAGUGAGGAAUAUUGGUCCAUGGGCGAGAGCCUGAACCAGCCAAGUCGCGUGAAGGAUGACGGCCCUACGGGUUGUAAACUUCUUUUGUCAGGGAGCAAUUGAGUCCACGUGUGGGCUUAGCGAGCGUCACUGAAGAAAAAGCAUCGGCUAACUCCGUGCCAGCAGCCGCGGUAAUACGGAGGAUGCGAGCGUUAUCCGGAUUUAUUGGGUUUAAAGGGUGCGUAGGCGGAAUAUCAAGUCAGCGGUAAAAAUUCGGGGCUCAACCCCGUCGUGCCGUUGAAACUGAUGGUCUUGAGUGGGCGAGAAGUAUGCGGAAUGCGUGGUGUAGCGGUGAAAUGCAGAGAGAUCACGCAGAACUCCGAUUGCGAAGGCAGCAUACCGGCGCCCAACUGACGCUGAAGCACGAAAGCGUGGGUAUCGAACAGGAUGAGAUACCCCAGUAGUC